rnacentral:rRNA from 1 species
UGGGGAAUAUUGCACAAUGGGCGCAAGCCUGAUGCAGCCAUGCCGCGUGUAUGAAGAAGGCCUUCGGGUUGUAAAGUACUUUCAGCGGGGAGGAAGGGAGUAAAGUUAAUACCUUUGCUCAUUGACGUUACCCGCAGAAGAAGCACCGGCUAACUCCGUGCCAGCAGCCGCGGUAAUACGGAGGGUGCAAGCGUUAAUCGGAAUUACUGGGCGUAAAGCGCACGCAGGCGGUUUGUUAAGUCAGAUGUGAAAUCCCCGGGCUCAACCUGGGAACUGCAUCUGAUACUGGCAAGCUUGAGUCUCGUAGAGGGGGGUAGAAUACCAGGUGUAGCGGUGAAAUGCGUAGAGAUCUGGAGGAAUACCUGUUGCGAAGGCGGCCCCCUAGACGAAGACUGACGCUCAGGUGCGAAAGCGUGGGGAGCAAACAGG